GACGUAGGGCGCGAGCGUUUGUCCGGAUUUAUUGGGCGUAAAGAGCGUGUAGGCGGCCACUUAAGUCCUGCGUGAAAUCUUGCGGCUCAACCGCAAGCGGUCGUGGGAAACUGGGUGGCUAGAGUGCGGGAGAGGAGAGUGGAAUUCCUGGUGUAGCGGUGAAAUGCGUAGAUAUCAGGAGGAACACCUGUGGUGUAGACGGCUUUCUGGACCAUAGCUGACGCUGAGACACGAAAGCGUGGGUAGCAAACAGG
rnacentral:rRNA from 1 species